UACGUAGGGACCGAGCGUUGUCCGGAAUGAUUGGGCGUAAAGCGUCCGCAGGUGGCAGUUCAAGUCUGCUGUCAAAGACCGGGGCUUAACUUCGGAACUGCCCUUGAUACAGCACGUCUUGAGUCCGGAAGAGGUGGGUGGAAUUCCUAGUGUAGAGGUGAAAUUCGUAGAUAUUAGGAAGAACACCGGUGGCGAAGGCGGCCCACUGGUCCGGUACUGACGCUGAGGUGCGAAAGCGUGGGGAGCAAACAGG
rnacentral:rRNA from 1 species